AAGAAACCUGUGAUUAAGAGUAAGUAGUCAUGGUUGCGUGUUCACAGAGAGCUACUGUUGGUGGAAAGUAGCAGCACAGAUUAUGAUGAAUGGGCUUAUGAGGGCGGCCGAACGCGAUUUUCGUUAGUAGCAGCCGACGGGGCGCGCAGCCCGUUAUCCGUUGCGUAUCGCAUAGUUGUGCAGAUUUUUCACAUGAAUGUGCGAGUUGAGUUGGAUGCAUUAGCAUCAAUAUGGGUGGCACCGCAGGAUUAACAGUCUUGUCCCAUUA
rfam:Clostridiales bacterium 41_12_two_minus Ley3_66761_scaffold_893, whole genome shotgun sequence.